AACGCACAUUGCGCCCCUUGGUAUUCCGAGGGGCAUGCCUGUUCGAGCGUCAUUACAACCCUCAAGCAUUGCUUGGUAUUGGGCCCCGCCGCUUACCCAGCGGGCCUUAAAAUCAGUGGCGGUGCCGUCGAGGCCCUGAGCGUAGUAAAUAUCCUCGCUAUAGGGACUCGGUGGACGCUGGCCAUCAACCCCCAACUUUCUAAGUUUGACCUCGGAUCAGGUAGGGAUACCCGCUGAACUUAA
rnacentral:misc_RNA from 1 species